rnacentral:lncRNA from 1 species
AGGACGGUUCUUAUUCUUCCACUCCCCGGGACUAGAAACCCAACUCUUUGAACCUUCAAAACGACUUUUCUUGUUCUGCCCCCAUUGGUGAUGUCUUUCACCAGUAUUACCAUCUCCACUAGGUGAAUCCCACCCAGACAAGCUCGCAGGUUGAGUUUCUGUCUCAGGAGGAUUUUUCUGCCCCCAAGAACUGGUAGAAAUUUCGGAAGAUUUUUUCUGUUGCCCACUAGACCAAGCAUUGUCAUUCCCUGAUUCUGUUUCCCCAGAUGAAACAGCACCCCAAGGUUGAGUUUCUAUCACAGGAGGAUUUUUCUGCCCCCAAGAACUGGUCGAAAUUUCAGAAGACUUUUUCUGUUGCCCACUAGACCAAGCCUUGUCAUUCCCUGUUUCUGUUUCCCCAUAAGAAACAGCACCCCAAGGUUGAGUUUCUGUCUCAGGAGGAUUUUUCUGCCCCCAAGAACUGGUCGAAAUUUCAGAAGACUUUUUCUGCUGCCCACUAGACCAAGCAUUGGCAUUCCCUGUUUCUGUUUCCCCAGAAGAAACAGCACCCCAAGGUUGAGUUUCUGUCUCAGGAGGAUUUUUCUGCCCCCAAGAACUGGUCGAAAUUUCAGAAGACUUUUUCUGUUGCCCACUAGACCAAGCAUUUUUCUGCCCCCAAGAACUGGUAGAAAUUUCAGAAGAUUUUUUCUGUUGCCCACUGGACCAAGCAUUGUCAUUCCCUGUUUCUGUUUCCCCAGAAGAAACAGCACCCCAAGGUUGAGUUUCUGUCUCAGGAGGAUUUUUCUGCCCCCAAGAACUGGUCGAAAUUUCAGAAGACUUUUUCUGUUGCCCACUAGACCAAGCAUUGUCAUUCCCUGUUUCUGUUUCCCUAGGAGAAACAGCACCCCAUCCAUUGUCCUUUUCAUCUACGGCUUUUAUUGUCGGCUGGAGGUCUAUUGGUGCAACUUUCUCUGCCACUCUACCACUCCAAUCAUUUUCACCUCCCUUACUUGCCCCCCAGGCAGAA